rnacentral:rRNA from 1 species
GACGAACGCUGGCGGUGUGCCUAAUACAUGCAAGUUGAGCGCUGAAGGUUGGUACUUGUACCAACUGGAUGAGCAGCGAACGGGUGAGUAACGCGUGGGGAAUCUGCCUUUGAGCGGGGGACAACAUUUGGAAACGAAUGCUAAUACCGCAUAAAAACUUUAAACACAAGUUUUAAGUUUGAAAGAUGCAAUUGCAUCACUCAAAGAUGAUCCCGCGUUGUAUUAGCUAGUUGGUGAGGUAAAGGCUCACCAAGGCGAUGAUACAUAGCCGACCUGAGAGGGUGAUCGGCCACAAUGGGACUGAGACACGGCCCAAACUCCUACGGGAGGCAGCAGUAGGGAAUCUUCGGCAAUGGACGAAAGUCUGACCGAGCAACGCCGCGGGAGUGAAGAAGGGUUUCGGAUCGUAAAACUCUGUUGGUAGAGAAGAACGUUGGUGAGAGUGGAAAGCUCAUCAAGUGACGGUAACUACACAGAAAGGGACGGCUAACUACGUG